rnacentral:rRNA from 1 species
CAAUAGCGUAUAUUAAAGUUGUUGCAGUUAAAAAGCUCGUAGUUGGAUUUCUGGUGGGAGCGAUCGGUCUGGCGCUUAGCGCGAGUACUUGCAUCGUCUCCGGCCAUCCUUGGGGAGAGUCUGUCUGGCAUUAGGUUGUCGGGCAGAGGAUCCUCAUCGUUUACUGUGAAAAAAUUAGAGUGUUCAAAGCAGGCUUAUGCCGUUGAAUAUAUUAGCACGGAAUAAUAAGAUAGGACUUUGGUACUAUUUUGUUGGUUUGCGCACCAAAGUAAUGAUUAAUAGGGACAGUUGGGGGUAUUCGUAUUCCGUUGUCAGAGGUGAAAUUCUUGGAUUUACGGAAGACGAACUACUGCGAAAGCAUUUACCAAGGAUGUUUUCAUUA